CGCUCACCGCGGACCCGCUGCGAGGGGUACAAGCGCUGCGCCUUCUCCAGGAAUCGGCGGGCCUUGUCGGGCUGGUUGGCCUUGAGGGCGGCCAGUGCAAUACCAAUGCACCGCUCCGCCUCGUCCCGCUUCCAGCCUUUGGAACAGGUCCUGGCUCCAGGAGACGGCGAGGAGGGAUGAGGCUGCUCGGGCUCCAUUGUUGCACAUUGCUUCACAUUCAGUAGCAGCAGGGAUAGCGGGAACCGAUCAUUCCAAAAAGGAAUUCAGAGACAGCUCUGGAAAGUCCUGGAGGUUCCCCCCCUCUCCUUCCAAAGCACCCCAUCUUCAGUGCCUCAGUCCCAGUCUUGGGGCAGGGUCUGGAGCAAUGGAGAGACAGAGGCAGGCUGCUGUGAGAACAUCUUUACAUGGUAUUUUACAGGACAGAACCCGGCAAAUCACGCCUGUCAGGCCUUCCCAGUGCAAUUCCCCACUCAGGAGAUCAGUCAGGGAGCUCCUGCAGCAGGAGGCUUCUGCAAGGGAGGAAGGGCAGGACAGCUCCACUACUUUUAGCUGCCCUUCUGCAGCAGGUGCAGCACGGAGCUUUUGGCUGGCUGAAAUCCAGGAAUUGCCUGGCUUUUCCAAGGAGCAGUCUGAGAUUCAAAAUAAUCCCCCCAUGCCAUUUUUUCAUAGUAUUAAAUAAAGGUGAUUUGGGGCCCAGCUCUGGAGCAGGGCACAUCACACCA